rnacentral:lncRNA from 1 species
UAGGUGUCUCUGUGUCUCUGUGUCUCUGUGUCUCUGUGUGCCUCUGUGUCGGUGUCUGUGUGUAUGGCUGUGUGUGUGUGUUGCUGUCUCUGUGUGUCUGUGGGUGUCUCUGUGUGUCUGUGUCUCUGUGUGUGUGUGUCUCUGUGUCUCUGUGUCUCUGUGUCUCUGUAUCUCUGUGUCUCUGUGUCUCUGUGUCUCUGUGUCUCUGUGUGUCUGUGUCUCUGUGUCUCUGUGUCUCUGUGUGUCUGUGUCUCUCUGUGUGUGUGUGAAGGUGUCUCUGUCUCUCUGUGUCUCUGUGUGUCUGUGUCUCUGUGUGUGUGUCUGUAGGUGUGCAUGUGUCUCGGUGUGUCUGUGGGCGUCUCUGCGUCUCUAUGUGUCUGUAGGUGUCUCUGCGUCUCUGUGUGUCUGUAGGUGUCUCUGUGUGUUUGUGUCUCUGCGUCUCUGUGUGUCUGUAGGUGUCUCUGUGUCUCUGUGUGUCUGUGUGUCUCUGUGUGUCUGUGUCUGUAGGUGUCUCUGUGUGUAUGUGUGUCUCUGUGUGUCUGUGUCUCUCUGUGUCUGUAAGUGUCUCUGUGUCUGUGGGUGUCCCUGUGUCUGUGGGUGUCUCUGUGUCUCUGUGUCUAUGUGUGUCUGUAGGUGUCUGUGUGUGUGUCUGUAGGUGUCUGUGUGUGUGUCUGUAGGUGUCUGUGUGUGUGUCUGUAGGUGUCUCUAUGUGUGUCUGUAGGUGUCUCUAUGUGUGUCUGUGGGUGUCUCUGUGUGUCUGUAGGUGUCUGUGUGUGUGUCUAUAGGUGUCUCUCUGUGUGUCUGUAGGUGUCUGUGUUUGUGUCUGUAGGUGUCUCUCUGUGUGUCUGUAGGUGUCUCUCUGUGUGUCUGUAGGUGUCUCUCUGUGUGUCUGUAGGUGUCUGUGUGUGUGUCUGUAGGUGUCUGUGUGUGUGUCUGUAGGUGUCUCUAUGUGUGUCUGUAGGUGUCUCUAUGUGUGUCUGUGGGUGUCUCUGUGUGUCUGUAGGUGUCUGUGUGUGUGUCUGUAGGUGUCUCUCUGUGUGUCUGUAGGUGUCUGUGUGUGUGUCUGUAGGUGUCUGUGUGUGUGUCUGUAGGUGUCUCUCUGUGUGUCUGUAGGUGUCUCUCUGUGUGUCUGUAGGUGUCUGUGUGUGUGUCUGUAGGUGUCUGUGUGUGUGUCUGUAGGUGUCUGUGUGUAUGGCUGUGUGUGUGUCUGUGUGUCUGUGUGUAUGGCUGUGUGUGUGUCUGUGUGUAUGGCUGUGUGUGUGUCUGUGUGUCUGUAGGUGUCUGUGUGUGUCUCUGUGUGUGUCUGUGUGUAUGGCUGUGUGUGUGUCUGUGUGUCUGUAGGUGUCUGUGUGUGUCUCUGUGUGUGUCUGUGUGUAUGGCUGUGUGUGUGUCUGUGUGUCUGUAGGUGUCUGUGUGUGUGUCUGUGUGUGUCUGUGUGUCUGUAGGUGUCUCUAUGUGUGUCUGUAGGUGUCUCUAUGUGUGUCUGUGGGUGUCUCUGUGUGUCUGUAGGUGUCUGUGUGUGUGUCUGUAGGUGUCUCUCUGUGUGUCUGUAGGUGUCUGUGUGUGUGUCUGUAGGUGUCUGUGUGUGUGUCUGUAGGUGUCUCUCUGUGUGUCUGUAGGUGUCUCUCUGUGUGUCUGUAGGUGUCUGUGUGUGUGUCUGUAGGUGUCUGUGUGUGUGUCUGUAGGUGUCUAUGUGUGUGUCUGUAGGUGUCUGUGUGUAUGGCUGUGUGUGUGUCUGUGUGUCUGUAGGUGUCUGUGUGUGUCUCUGUGUGUGUCUGUGUGUAUGGCUGUGUGUGUGUCUGUAGGUGUCUGUGUGUGUCUCUGUGUGUGUCUGUGUGUAUGGCUGUGUGUGUGUCUGUGUGUCUGUAGGUGUCUGUGUGUGUCUCUGUGUGUGUCUGUGUGUGUCUGUGUGUCUGUAGGUGUCUCUAUGUGUGUCUGUAGGUGUCUGCGUGUGUGUCUGUAGGUGGCUGUGUGUGUGUGUUGGUGUCUCUGUUAGAGGUCAACCGAUUAAUUAGGGCCGAUUUCAAGUUUUCAUAACAAUCGGUAAAUCUUUUUUUUUUUUUUACACCUCUAUU